GAUGAACGCUAGCGGCAGGCUUAAUACAUGCAAGUCGAACGGUAAGUUUGGUAGCAAUAUCAAACCAAGAGUGACGUACGGGUGCGUAACACGUAUGCAACCUACCUUGUACAGGAGUAUAGCUCGGGGAAACUCGAAUUAACCCUCCAUGAGAUCACAGUGUGGCAUCACACAGUGAUUAAAACUCAGGUGGUACAAGAUGGGCAUGCGUCUGAUUAGAGUUGGCGGGUAAUGCCCACCAAGACGAUGAUCAGUAGGGGACCUGAGA
rnacentral:rRNA from 1 species